UAUUACAUGAUGAAUAAGCUUCUACGAAUCACGACGGUCUUCUGACAUUAUCAAUGGAGAUGGUAGAACGUUCUGAUCUC
rnacentral:snoRNA from 17 species